CAGCGGGAGUAGCAAUACUUGCCGGCGACCGGCGCACGGGCGCGUAACACGUAUACAAUCUACCUAAAACUGGAGGAUAGCCCGAAGAAACUCGGAUUAAUACUCCAUAACAUUGCGAGAUGGCAUCAUUUUGCAAUUAAAGCUCCGGCGGUUUUGGAUGAGUAUGCGUUCGAUUAGCUAGUUGGUGAGGUAACGGCUCACCAAGGCAACGAUCGAGUAGGGGUACUGAGAGGUUACCACCCCCACACUGGUACUGAGACACGGACCAGACUCC
rnacentral:rRNA from 1 species